UUCUAUUUGGCAGAACAAAUGCAUUAAGUUUAAGUCUUAAUUAUAAAUUAAUUUUUC
rnacentral:tRNA from 1 species